AUAUGUCGAAGUGAAGACAUGGUUGAGUUUCACGAAACAGUACAAUGAGAGCUGAUAACUAUCUCAAACAAAAAUGAAAGAAAUCCAACCCCAGAUUUGGCGCUUACCUUCCAAAAAAAAUAAUUCAAAAAGUAACAAUAGUCAAGAAAAUAAUCAGUGGAAAUAAUCCAGAAGUUUUAUAUUCACAUCUAAAAGUAUAAUAUUCGCAUGGCGAGAGGACCAAUCGGUUGGAAUCCAGAGCAAUAAAGGUCCACUAAUAAAGAAAUUCCGUCGCCAACAUUACACAGAGAUCUCCAAGUCCCGCGAUAUAGUGAACGAGAGAGCUGAAUACAAAACUAGCCCACCCCAACCCUCUUGUGCCCUUCCUUAAUGUAACAAAGACACCCCUCUUACGGUUCGAUGUGUUUGUUUUCUGUGUAUGUGUGUGUUUAGUUCUGUAUUAUGUUUGAUAUUUCGGGCCUUCAUCAAUAUUCUCAUGGACUACAUAUCAUAGAUUUUGGGAAAAUCAUAUCUAUGAUUUAUUCUACUUUACAAUAACUCACACUUACUUAUAACACUGUCACGGUUUAUUUUAUUCAGUUUCUAAUGUGUUAUAUUAAGAUAAAAAUAUAUGUACAAAAGACCUGAACUUAACGAAUAUGUAUAACAGAAAAUAUUAAGCAAUGAAAAACUUAUAAGAUUAACUUCCAAUAAGAAUAUUAAUCGAAAAACAAGUGACAAAGGAUUGUACAAAAAAAUGGCGGCCGCGUUAGCUGUUCUAUAGCACUAAUGGUAACUGAAAUUUGAUUUGUUAUUUUAGUAUAUAUUUUUUUUAUAUUUUAUGAGUGAUAGACGAAAUUUAAUAUUACAAGGUAAACUGUUUUCCGAAUGUAGCAAAAUAACUUUUGCCUGAUUUGAUGUAAUAUUUGAACAUAGUUCACCGUAUUUACACAAAAUUAAUAAAAUUAAAAACGACAAUAAAAUGGUAAAGUGUUAAAUUAUAAUAACAUUUUUAACGUUAGAAAAAAAAUCGUGUUAAAAAUUUAAUGAAAACAAAAAAUUUGAUUACUUCUUAAGUUCAAAGCUUUUAUUAUUAACCUGUGAUCGAAGGAAAUUAAUUGUGUUAAAAUAUUAUAAAAUAAGUUACAUUUUAACAAGUAAUGACUUUAUGUAUGAACUAAUGUUUUCAGAGCUUUUGAGUACUCCAUAGACCAAUUGUUUUGUAAUUAAUCGAGAUACAAAUUCGUAGGACAUAGAUUCUGUUGAAUGA